UACAGAGGUCCCAAGCGUUGUUCGGAUUCACUGGGCGUAAAGGGUGCGUAGGUGGUGAGGUAAGUCGGAUGUGAAAGCUCCGAGCUCAACUCGGAAAUGGCAUUGGAAACUACCUUGCUAGAGGGUUUGAGGGGGGACUGGAAUACUUGGUGUAGCAGUGAAAUGCGUAGAUAUCAAGUGGAACACCAGUGGCGAAGGCGAGUCUCUGGGCCGAUACUGACGCUGAGGAGCGAAAGCGUGGGGAGCGAACAGG
rnacentral:rRNA from 1 species